rnacentral:tRNA from 1 species
GCGAGCGUGGCGGAAUUGGCAGACGCGCCAGGUUUAGGUCCUGGUGUCCGUUAUGGACGUGGAGGUUCGAGUCCUCUCGCUCGCA